CCUAACACAUGCAAGUCGAACGAACCUUUAUGGUGAGUGGCGCACGGGUGCGUAACACGUGGGAAUAUACAUUUCGGUAAGGAACAACACAGAGAAAUUUGUGCUAAUACCUUAUAAUGACUCCGGUCCAAAGAUUUAUCGCCGAAAGAUUAGCCCGCGCUAGAUUAGUUUGUUGGUGAGGUAAGAGCUCACCAAGACUACGAUCUAUAGGGGGUCUGAGAGGAUGAUCCCCCACACUGGAACUGAGACACGGUCCAGACUCCUACGGGAGGCAGCAGUGAGGAAUAUUGCGCAAUGGAGGAAACUCUGACGCAGCCAUGCCGCGUGAAUGACGAAGGCCUUAGGGUUGUAAAGUUCUUUCAAUAGUGAAGAUAAUGACGGUAGCUAUAGAAGAAGCUCCGGCUAAAUUCAUGCCAGCAGCCGCGGUAAUACGAAUGGAGCGAGCGUUGUUCGGAAUCACUGGGCGUAAAGCGUAUGUAGGCGGACAUGAAAGUCAGAAGUGAAAUCCCUGGGCUCAACCCCGGAAUUGCUUUUGAAACUCCAUGUCUCGAGCCCCGGAGGGGUCAGCGGAAUUCCGAGUGUAGAGGUGAAAUUCGCAGAUAUUCGGAGGAACACCAGUGGCGUAGGCGGCUGGCUGGACGGGAACUGACGCUGAGAUACGAAAGCAUGGGGAUCAAACAGGAUUAGAUACCCUGGUAGUCCAUGCCGUAAACGAUGUGUGCUAGUUGUCGGGUACUUAAGUAUUCGGUAACGCAGCUAACGCAUUAAGCACACCGCCUGGGGAGUACGGUCGCAAGAUUAAAACUCAAAGGAAUUGACGGGGACCCGCACAAGCGGUGGAGCAUGCUGUUUAAUUCGAAGCAACGCGAAGAACCUUACCUACACUUGACAUACUCGUCGGGAAUUGCAGAGAUGCUUUUCUUCGGUUCGGCCGGACGAUGUACAGGUGCUGCACGGCUGUCGUCAGCUCGUGUCGUGAGA
rnacentral:rRNA from 1 species